rnacentral:pre_miRNA from 1 species
UUACAAUUAAAGGAUAUUUCUUGAGGCAUUAUCUAAAACGGAAAUAUCCCUUAAUUGUUUGAC